AGCGAACGCUGGCGGCAGGCCUAACACAUGCAAGUCGAACGCACCUUCGGGUGAGUGGCGGACGGGUGAGUAACACGUGGGAACGUACCUUUGGUUCGGAAUAACGCAGGGAAACUUGUGCUAAUACCGAAUGUGCCCUUCGGGGGAAAGGAUUUAUCGCCAUUAGAGCGGCCCGCGUCAGAUUAGCCAGUUGGUGAGGU
rnacentral:rRNA from 1 species